ACAGUGUGCUUUGGGAGGACCUGCUAAGGAGGUGCCAUUGAAGCUAAGACAUGUAGGGAAGAAACCAGCCCCAAGAAGCAGGGCAAUCAAUAUGGACUUCAUUGAAAUAUCGUGUGUCAAUUGGAUUUCAUCCCUUAAUCACACUGGCAGAGAAAAGAGGGUAGUGGCUGCUUUGGAGAAUGGAGGAAGCCAGAAAGAAGAUAAAGAGUGAAGAUACAAGAAGACAACGGGAUAAGAUUCAGGGAAGAGAGAAGGUCAUAGAGCUGAGAAGGAAUUGACUUUUCUUCAUGUUAAGGGUGGCAGAGGGGAAGACUUCAGCUGAUCACUAUUCAGGUACAUCUGGAUCCAGGAAUAAGAAACCGUAUGGUGUCCAACUCCUUCAAAAUGGGUACAUCAUGAGAAAUGCUGGGUUGGAAGAAACAAGCUGGAAUCAAGAUUGCCGGGAGAAAUAUCAAUAACCUCAGAUAUGCAGAUGACACCACCCUUAUGGCAGAAAGUGAAGAGGAACUAAAAAGCCUCUUGAUGAAAGUGAAAGAGGAGAGUGAAAAAGUUGGCUUAAAGCUCAACAUUCAGAAAAC
ensembl:lncRNA